CAGAGACCGAGGAAGAGCAGAGACUGCAGUCACAACACAGAAUGGAUUCCAAUGGGAGCCGCACGUCUCGCACACUGCACAGAGUCUGAGAAAGUUGCUCAGAAUACCCACGUGGGAAAUAAAAAGUCACGACUUAUAUGACGUCACGUGCGCGAUUCAGCGACAAUCGUCACAUAGUGUCGGAAGUGAACAACGAGGGGUGCACAUCAAAGCCAACAAGCAAACACUUUCCACAGGUUGAAGACCACCGGUAUACAGUAUAUUAAUCUGUUCCAGGACGACCAUUGUAUGUUGAAACCAUUGUAUGUUGAAACCAUUGUAUGCCGAGACCCUAACUCUAUGGAAACCUGGUAAUUGGUUCUGAAGCCCCAAAAUGUCAUGCAAAAAUAGGAAAACGUGAGGA